UGUUCUGAUCGAUGCUCGACUAGCCAUGCCUGUAACGUUUCACUGCGCAUGCUCCGAUCAUGCCGAUGUGGCCGUUGUCUUCCAGACCUUCCUGAUGUCACCCAGAGUUUAGGAUGAAAUAAUGAAGCUUUUUAUGGUUUUACAGCUGUUUGGUCUUUAUAGUGGAGUCAGUGUGGAGGAAGGAGAUAGACUUAUCAACAAAUGUGAAGUGUGUAAGUUCUUGACGGUGGAGAUGCAGGAGGCGCUGGAGAGGACAGGUCGGUCCAAGGAGGUGCUGGAGUUGGGGGAGGUGCUGGACACGGCAAGAGUAGACGCAAUAUUAAAUAGUACACGUUGGAGACCCGUUUGACUGAGGCCGUGGACAACAUCUGUGAACGCAUCCUGCAGUACAGCGUUCACGCAUAGAGGCCUGGAAGUCUACGCUACGCCAAGGGAACCAGUCAGACCAUGACCACACUAAAAAACCUGGUGGGUAAUAAGUGAAAGUGGACCUGGGAAUGCCGUACGAGCUGUGGGACCAACCGUCUGCAGAGGUCACCGACAUGAAGAAACAGUGUGAGACCAUGCUGGAGCAGUACGAGGACGUAGUGGAGGACUGGUACUUCCAUCACCAGGACCAGAGGCUGGAGAACUUCCUGUGUGAGAAGCACAUCCUGAAGAUGUCAGAGCAAGGUGACAAAUAUAAUAGUUUUGCUACUUUUAAUGCAUUUUUGCUACAUUGCUCCCAUUUCUGACACUUCUUCAUCAUUUCAAUGUCUUUUCUGUACA
rnacentral:lncRNA from 1 species